UUCAGAUUCGGCGGCAGAAGGAUAAGGAAGCUGACACAUAUUGAACUUCAAAAUAUUUUCCUGGAAUAUAAGUUUUUUGCUGACCACUAUGUGACCUUUGUUUUACAUAAGGAGGCAAUCAUAUACUUCCACCAGAGGAAGACAGGGUGUCCAUAUGAGUUAGCAAACCAAAAAUGUAUGGAUGCAGAAGUGGAUAUGUAUAUUGAAUGGAAAAAGAAGCAUAGAAAAUAACUAUGAGCAUUCAAAUUGAAUAUAUUACAUUUUAUUUUUGUUUGUUUGUAUAUAGUAAUUAUGAUGGUCUUAUAUAACAUCAAUAUUCAACGUUUUAUGAUGAUAUUUUUAUUUUCUUAUUGUUUUAAAAGCUGUAGCUUAUUAGUAAAAAAAGAAAUUGUAAAACAAGAUAACAGCAAUAUUAAUGAAAAGAAAAAACAAGACAACAAAUGCAGAGAAUUUAUAUGAAGUAGUGGAUAUAGAAAGGAAAAUCAACAAGAACCUUUAAUCGCAAGUUGAUUAUCGUUUCUGAAUUGACUAAAACACGGUUUUAAAUUUGGAACAUAAAUCAAUAGAAGUAUCUAAAAAGAAUUUCAAUUUUAUUUUUUUAUUCUUGAAUGUGUGGGAAUUAAUACGGUUCACAUCUAUAUUUAGGCAUAUGAAAAUUAAAGAAAGUUUAAUAUUGUA